rnacentral:rRNA from 1 species
GACGAACGCUGGCGGCGUGCUUAACACAUGCAAGUCGAGCGGUAAGGCCCUUUCGGGGGUACGACGAGCGGCGAACGGGUGAGUAACACGUGGGUGACCUGCCCUCCAGCUCUGGGAUAAGCCUGGGAAACCGGGGUCUAAUACCGGAUAUGACUCCAUGACGCAUGUUGUGGGGUGGAAAGCCUUGUGCGGCUGAGGAUGGGCCCGCGGCCUAUCAGCUUGUUGGUGGGGUGAUGGCCUACCAAGGCGACGACGGGUAGCCGGCCUGAGAGGGCGACCGGCCACACUGGGACUGAGACACGGCCCAGACUCCUACGGGAGGCAGCAGUGGGGAAUCUUGCGCAAUGGGCGAAAGCCUGACGCAGCGACGCCGCGUGAGGGAUGACGG